UUAUCGAUGAGGAAAAGAACUAUGUGGACUUCAAUUAGUUUGGAGUCUGACGGACUUCAUUUGGUUUGAAAUCUGAAAGCUUGUAGAAGUCGGAACUGAAGUCUGGACUUAAUUGACCUUAUGUUCGAUUUUCUGUAGCAUCUUGUCAUCUUUGUACAGUAUUAGGAGUCUUCCUGUAGAUGAACAGUAGUGAUCUCAGGAAUCUUUCUAUAGCUUGCUUGUCAUCUUUAGAUCCUCGGGU
rnacentral:lncRNA from 1 species